UACGAAGGGGGCUAGCGUUGCUCGGAAUCACUGGGCGUAAAGGGCGCGUAGGCGGCCUGAUAAGUCGGGGGUGAAAGCCUGUGGCUCAACCACAGAAUUGCCUCCGAUACUGUUGGGCUUGAGACCGGAAGAGGUAAGUGGAACUGCGAGUGUAGAGGUGAAAUUCGUAGAUAUUGGGAAGAACACCGGUGGCGAAGGCGGCCAACUGGACAGAUACUGACGCUGAGACUCGAAAGCGUGGGGAGCAAACAGG
rnacentral:rRNA from 1 species